CAGAAACACAGCAGUCAAACAGAGUUGGAGAGUAACUUGAGCACCAUGAAAAAACAAGGGAAACAAGGAUUACAAACAAUGCAGGACAACUUAAAUACACAGGAGAACCUAGAGGCAUCAGAAAAAUGAACAGAGAAAGAACUCAAGGCAUACCUAACUCAGAUGGAACAGAAUCUUAGAGAAGACAUUAGACAGCAAGUUCAAACAAUGAAAGUAUAUUUUGAAAACGGAUUAAAUAAGCAAAUUCAAAUGGCAAAGAACGAGCUCUACCAGGAGAUAGAGAUUUUAAAAAAAAUCAAACAGUAAUCCUAGAAAUGCAGGAAACCAUAAACCAAAUUAAAAACUCAAACGAGAAUAUUACAAAUAGACUAGAUCAAGUAGAAGCCAGAACAUCAGAUAAUGAAGACAAAGUUUAUCAACUUGAAAAGAAUAUAGUCAACACAGAAAGGAUGCUUAAAAUUCACGAGCAAUCUAUCCAAGAGAUAUGGGAUGUCAUAAAAAAACCAAACUUGAGAGUCAUUGGGAUAGAAGAAGGUAUAGAGGUUCAAACCAAAGGAAUGGACAAUCUAUUGAAUGAAAUAAUCCUAGAAAACUUCCCAGAUAUGAAAGAUGGAAUGGAUUGCCAAAUCCUGGAAGCCUACAGGACCCCAAACAUUCAAAACCGUAAUAGACCAACUCCAAGACACAUAAUUAUGAAGAUAUCCAACAUACAGAACAAGGA
rnacentral:lncRNA from 1 species